CGCGUUCGGACACAGAUUCUGUGAUCCAGUGCCGGAGCCACAUUGUAGCAGCAUUAAGGAAACGCAUUUAACUAAAGAAAAAAAUACCGGGUAUAAUGACGCCAUGGAUACAGAGGGCAUAUCACUUCAUGUAUUCCUCAUAUUCAAGAGGGGAAGGAAACUAUGGACAAGCUUGUCCCUGAUGUUUGGGCCUCUCCUAUAUGUGACACUGGGAUAAGGUGGCAGAACAGCUCUUAGUUGGUCAUCGCUGAUCCCUUGAUAAAGAUCGUUUGUCGACCGAAACCUUGGGACUAAUCAUAUGGCCCUUCAUUACAUUACGUAGUCUGGACAAAGAAUAAAUACAGAAUUAUGUAAUUAUACAUUAAAAAUAUCACUUACAAAAGAAA